rnacentral:rRNA from 1 species
AUUGAACGCUGGCGGCGGGCCUAAAACAUGAAAGUCGAACGAGUGGCGGACGAGUGAGUAAUUUCUGGGAAACUGCCCGAUGGAGGGGGAUAACUCCUGGGAACAGUAGCUAAUACCGCAUACCAUCAGAGGUGCCCAGAUGGGAUUAGCUAGUAGGUGGGGUAACGGCUCACCUAGGCGACGAUCCCUAGCUGGUCUGAGAGGAUGACCAGCCACACUGGAACUGAGACACGGUCCAGACUCCUACGGGAGGCAGCAGUGGGGAAUAUUGCACAAUGGGCGCAAGCCUGAUGCAGCCAUGUCGCGUGUAUGAAGAAGGCCUUCGGGUUGUAAAGUACUUUCAGCGAGGAGGCGUUACUCGCAGAAGAAGCACCGGCUAACUCCGUGCCAGCAGCCGCGGUAAUUC